AUUGAACGCUGGCGGCACGCCUAACACAUGCAAGUCGAACGGCAGCGGGUCUAGCUUGCUAGAUGCCGGCGAGUGGCGGACGGGUGAGUAAUGCGUAGGAAUCUACCCUAGAGAUGAGGAUAACUUGGGGAAACUCAAGUUAAUACUGAAUAUGCCCUACGGGGUAAAGGUAGCGUAAGCGACCGCUUUAGGAUGAGCCUACGUUUGAUUAGCUAGUUGGUGGGGUAAAGGCCUACCAAGGCGACGAUCAAUAGCUGUUCUGAGAGGAAGAUCAGCCACACUGGGACUGAGACACGGCCCAGACUCCUACGGGAGGCAGCAGUGGGGAAUCUUGGACAAUGGGGGAAACCCUGAUCCAGCGAUGCCGCGUGUGUGAAGAAGGCCUUAGGGUAGUAAAGCACUUUAGUGGGGGAGGAGUAGGCAUGAUUGCAUAGAUCAUGUUGAGGACGUUACCCCAAGAAUAAGCACCGGCUAACUCUGUGCCAGCAGCCGCGGUAA
rnacentral:rRNA from 1 species